AAAAGAAAAUUUGAAGACAAGUGCCUGCCGUCGCUGUAUGAAAAUUGCGGAAUAGACCCCACACGCUUGCAAGUCCAUACCCUCGUGCCAUCCACGUCUCUCUAAUAAAAUAACCACUGUUUUAUCUCAAUUAAUGCCGUGUCAGCCGCACCCUCAAAACCACUGAUCCAAUUUUAUAAAAAGAACAUCAAAUCACUGAAUCAUCACCAAUUUGUAAUCAUCGUCAACCGUCCGAUUCUCCAUCAUAGGAUUCCGUAUAAAUGAA
rnacentral:lncRNA from 1 species